GACGAACGCUGGCGGCGUGCUUAACACAUGCAAGUCGAACGGAAAGGCCCUGCUUUUGUGGGGUGCUCGAGUGGCGAACGGGUGAGUAACACGUGUGUAACCUGUCCUUGUCUUUGGGAUAACUUCAGGAAACUGGGGCUAAUACCGGAUAGGAGCUCCUGCUGCAUGGUGGGGGUUGGAAAGUUUCGGUGGUUGGGGAUGGACUCGCGGCUUAUCGGCUUGUUGGUGGGGUAGUGGCUUACCAAGGCUUUGACGGGUAGCCGGCCUGAGAGGGUGACCGGCCACAUUAGGACUGAGAUACGGCCCAGACUCCUACGGGAGGCAGAGGUGGAGAAUAUUGCACAAUAGGCUGAAGCCUGAUGCAGCAACGCCGCGUGCGGGAUGACGGGCUUCGGGUUGUAAACCGCUUUCGCCUGUGACGAAGCGUGAGUGACGGUAAUGGGUAAAGAAGCACCGGCUAACUACGUG
rnacentral:rRNA from 1 species